rnacentral:lncRNA from 1 species
AAAAUGGUCAGUUGACCCCUUUAGGAGUUAUUGACCUUUAUAGUCAAUUUUUAACCAUUUUUUCGUAAAUCUUAGUAAUCUUUUACAAAAAUCUUCUCCUCUGAAACUACUGGGCCAAAUUAAUCCAAACUUGGCCACAAUCAUCUUUGGGAUAUCUAGUUUAAAAAAUGUGUGGCGUGACCCGGCCAACCAACCAAGAUGGCCGCCAUGGCUAAAAAUAGAACAUAGGGGUAAAAUGCAGUUUUUGGCUUAUAACUCAAAAACCAAAGCAUUUAGAGCAAAUCUAACAGCGGUUAAAGUGUUUAUCAGGUGAAGAUCUAUCUGUCCUGAAUUUUUCAGAUGAAUCGGACAACCUGUUGUUGGGUUGCUGCCCCUGAAUUGGUAAUUUUAAGGAAAUUUUGCUGUUUUUGGUUAUUAUCUUGAAUAUUUAAAUUAUAGAUAGAGAUAAACUGUAAACAGCAAUAAUGUUCAGCAAAGUAAGAUUUACAAAUAAGUCAGCAUGACCAAAAUGGUCAGUUGACCCCUGAAGGAGUUAUUGCCCUUUAUAGUCAAUUUUUAACCAUUUUUUCAUAAAUCUUAGUAAUCUUUUACAAAAAUCUUCUUCUCUGAAACUACUGGGCCAAAUUA